rnacentral:rRNA from 1 species
GACGAACGCUGGCGGCGUGCUUAACACAUGCAAGUCGAACGGAAAGGCCCUGCUCUUGUGGGGUGCUCGAGUGGCGAACGGGUGAGUAACACGUGAGUAACCUGCCCUUGACUUUGGGAUAACUUCAGGAAACUGGGGCUAAUACCGGAUAGGAGCUCCUGCUGCAUGGUGGGGGUUGGAAAGUUUCGGCGGUUGGGGAUGGACUAGCGGCUUAUCAGCUUGUUGGUGGGGUAGUGGCUUACCAAGGCUUUGACGGGUAGCCCGCCUGAGAGGGUGACCGGCCACAUUGGGCCUGCGAGACGGCCCAGACUCCUACGGGCGGCAGCAGUGGGGAAUAUUGCACAAUGGGCCGAAGCCUGAUGCAGCAGCCCCGCGUGCGUAAUGACGGCCUUCUGGUUGUAAACCGCUUUCGCCUGAAACGAAGCGUGAGUGACGGUAAUGGGUAAAGAAGCACCGGCUAACUACGUG